GAGUUUGAUCAUGGCUCAGGAUGAACGCUAGCGGCAGGCCUAAUACAUGCAAGUCGAGGGGCAGCAGGGAUAGCAAUAUUCGCUGGCGACCGGCGCACGGGUGCGUAACACGUAUACAAUCUGCCUUUAACGGGGGGAUAGCCCGGAGAAAUCCGGAUUAAUACCCCAUAACAGAUCGAAUGGCAUCAUUUGAUUUUGAAAGCUCCGGCGGUUAAAGAUGAGUAUGCGUCUGAUUAGCUAGUUGGUGAGGUAACGGCUCACCAAGGCGACGAUCAGUAGGGGAUCUGAGAGGAUUAACCCCCACACGGAUACUGAGACACGGAUCCGACUCCUACGGGAGCAGCAGUAAGGAAUAUUGGACAAUGCCCGCAAGGGUGAUCCAGCCAUGCCGCGUGCAGGAAGACGGCCCUAUGGGUUGUAAACUGCUUUUACACCGGAGAAAACCUUCCCUCGUGAGGGGAGCUGAUAGUAUGGUGAGAAUAAGCAUCGGCUAACUUCGUGCC
rnacentral:rRNA from 1 species